rnacentral:rRNA from 1 species
AUACGUAGGGGGCGAGCGUUGUCCGGAAUGAUUGGGCGUAAAGGGCGCGUAGGCGGCCCGGUAAGUCUGGAGUGAAAGUCCUGUUUUUAAGAUGGGAAUUGCUUUGGAUACUGUCGGGCUUGAGUGCAGGAGAGGUAAGUGGAAUUCCCAGUGUAGCGGUGAAAUGCGUAGAGAUUGGGAGGAACACCAGUGGCGAAGGCGACUUACUGGACUGUAACUGACGCUGAGGCGCGAAAGUGUGGGGAGCAAACAGGAUUAGAUACCCUGGUAGUGCACACUGUAAACGAUGAAUGCUAGGUGUAGGGGGUAUCGACCCCUUCUGUGCCGCAGUCAACACAAUAAGCAUUCCGCCUGGGGAGUACGGCCGCAAGGUUGAAACUCAAAUGAAUUGACGGGG